rnacentral:rRNA from 1 species
UCUUGGUCAUUUAGAGGAAGUAAAAGUCGUAACAAGGUCUCCGUUGGUGAACCAGCGGAGGGAUCAUUACAGAGUUGCAAAACUCCCUAAACCAUUGUGAACGUUACCUAAACCGUUGCUUCGGCGGGCGGCCCGGGUCCUUCCCGGCGCCCAUCGGCCCUCGCGGGCGCCCGCCGGAGGUAAACCAAACUAUUGCAUUGUAUGGCCUCUCUGAGUCUUCUGUACUGAAUAAGUCAAAACUUUCAACAACGGAUCUCUUGGUUCUGGCAUCGAUGAAGAACGCAGCGAAAUGCGAUAAGUAAUGUGAAUUGCAGAAUUCAGUGAAUCAUCGAAUCUUUGAACGCACAUUGCGCCCGCCAGUAUUCUGGCGGGCAUGCCUGUUCGAGCGUCAUUUCAACCAUCAAGCCCCGGGCUUGUGUUGGGGACCUGCGGCUGCCGCAGGCCCUGAAAUGCAGUGGCGGGCUCGCUGUCACUCCGAGCGUAGUAGUUACAUCUCGCUCUGGGCGUGCUGCGGGUUCCGGCCGUUAAAAGCCUUAUUUACCCAAGGUUGACCUCGGAUCAGGUAGGAAGACCCGCUGAACUUAAGCAUAUCAAUAAGC